GGACUGAGUUUCGUUACGAAGAAUUUAUCAUAUGAUUUCUGACUGUGGGCUAUACGAUAAUUAUCCUCUUAAUAGUCACACAAUGUUUUUAGACAAAUCGUAGAUUGUCGUUUAGCCGUUAAGUAAUGGAGCGAUGGUUCUCAAAUGGUUUGGCUUGGGGUGAAGGAUGUGUUCACUCAGAUAGCCAAGGAUGUUGUAGGUCAAGGAU
rnacentral:lncRNA from 1 species